rnacentral:rRNA from 1 species
AGCGAACGCUGGCGGUAGGCCUAACACAUGCAAGUCGAACGACCGCAUCGGAAUUGCUUGCUCUCAGGGGUGGCGAGCGUCGGAAGGGUGCGUAAUACUCCGGAAUAUACUUUUUCACGGGGGCUAAUGCCGGGAAAGUUCCGCGAAUACCGGAUACAUCCUACGUGUAAAAGCAGGCGAUUUUCUAGCUUUGCGCGAUUGUAUGGGCCGAUGUCGGCUUAGCUAGUUGGCGGGGCAAAGGCGCUCGAAAGCGACGAUCCGAAUCUGGUCUGAGAGGAUGAACAGCCACACUGGAACUGAGACACGGUAGAGACUCUGACGGGAGGCAGCAGUGGGGAAUAUUGGACAAAGGGGGCGAGCCUGAUCCAGCCAUACCGCGUAGGUGAAGAAGGACUUCGGGUUGUAAAGCCAUUUUGUUGGGAAAGAAAAGCAGCAGGUUAAUACCCCGCUGUUCUGACGGUACCCAAAGAAUAAGCACCGGCUAACUUCGUG